rnacentral:pre_miRNA from 1 species
CCGCGUGGAAAGUUUGACUUUUCGUCAAAAAGUCCAUAACAUAAACAAAGUCCAUACAUAAACAAUGGACCUUUUGACGAAAAGUCAAACUUUCCACGCGC